GGUAGAGUAGGGCAACACUUGAGGAGGACAGAGCAGUGACAGGCUAUUGUAGAUGACAUGUCACCUACAAUGUCCACUAUCAUGGUCCCCUGUUUACUAAUAGAAUCUCUACUAUAAUGCAUCCACCUGGAAAACUAUGUUUUCCAAUCUCCCUUGAGAAGAAGGUAGGCCAAUGUGACAUGAGGAGGAGUUACUGGGUAGAACUUCUGGGAAAGAUCACUAAAGGGAUUAUUCAACUGGGAGUUACCUUUUUGCUCUUGCCCCUUUCUCCUUUUUCUGUUCAUGGACUUGGAUAUAGUGGAUGGCUUCAGAAGCCGUCUUGUGACCAUGAGAUGACUUGAAAAUGGAGGCUGUAGUCUACAGAUGGCAGGAAAAAAAGAGCAGUAACCUGGGAUUGAUGAUACAGGGGAGCCUUCGAACCAGCCAUGGAAUAUCUCCAAACUUUAAUCCACCAUAUUGUGAGGAAGCCCAAGCAGCUCAUGGAGAGGCCCACACAGAAAGAAACUGAGAGGCCAGGCGCGGUGGCUUAUGUCUGUAAUCCCAACACUUUGGGAGGCUGAGGUGGGUGGAUCGUAAGGUCAGGAGUUCGAGACCAGCCUGGCCAACAUGGCAAAACUCUGUCUCUACUAAAAAUACAAAAAUGUGGCGAGCACCUGUAAUCUUAGCUACUCGGGAGGCUGAGGCAGGAGAAUCACUUGAACUCAGGAGGCAGAGGUUGCAGUGAGCUGAGAUUGUGCCAUUGCACUCCAACCUGGUCGACAAGAGCAAGACUCCGUCUCAAAAAAAAAAAAAAAAAAUAGAAAGAAAGAAACUGAGAA